rnacentral:rRNA from 1 species
AACGAACGCUGGCGGCAUGCCUAACACAUGCAAGUCGAACGAGACCUUCGGGUCUAGUGGCGCACGGGUGCGUAACGCGUGGGAAUCUGCCCUUCGGUUGGGAAUAACUGAGAGAAAUUUCAGCUAAUACCUUAUAAUGUCUUCGGACCAAAGAUUUAUCGCCGAGGGAUGAGCCCGCGUAGGAUUAGGUAGUUGGUGGGGUAAUGGCCUACCAAGCCGACGAUCCUUAGCGGGUCUGAGAGGAUGAUCAGCCACACUGGGACUGAGACACGGCCCAGACUCUUACGGGAGGCAGAAGUGGGGAAUAUUGGACAAUGGGCGAAAGCCUGAUCCAGCAAUGCCGCGGUGGUGAUGAAGGCCUUAGGGUUGUAAAGCUCUUGUACCCGGGAUGAUAAUGACAGUACCGGGAGAAUAAGCUCCGGCUAACUCCGUGCCAGCCGCCGCCGUAA